rnacentral:tRNA from 1 species
UGAGGGGUCGUCUAACGGUAAGACGACAGGCUCUGGACCUGUUCAUUGAGGUUCGAAUCCUCGCCCCUCAGCCA